rnacentral:rRNA from 1 species
GACGAACGCUGGCGGCGUGCCUAAUACAUGCCAGUUGAGCGCUGAAGGUUGGUACUUGUACCAACUGGAUGAGCAGCGAACGGGUGAGUAACGCGUGGGGAAUCUGCCUUUGAGCGGGGGACAACAUUUGGAAACGAAUGCUAAUACCGCAUAAAAACUUUAAACACAAGUUUUAAGUUUGAAAGAUGCAAUUGCAUCACUCAAAGAUGAUCUCGCGUUGUAUUAGCUAGUUGGUGAGGUAAAGGCUCACCAAGGCGAUGAUACAUAGCCGACCUGAGAGGGUGAUCGGCCACAUUGGGACGGAGACACGGCCCAAAGUCCUACAGGAGGCAGCAGGAGGGAAUCGUCGGCAAGGGACGAAAGUCUGACCGAGCAACGCCGAGUGAGUGAAGAAGGUUGUCGGAUCGUAAAACUCUGUUGGUAGGGAAGAACGUGGGUGAGAGCGGAAAGCUCAUCAAGUGACGGUAACUACCCAGAAAGGGACGGCUAACUACGUG